CCUUCUUGACUCGGACUCGAUUUGCUCCGGUCUCAAACACAACACUGUGUAGAACUAUGGAAACUCAUAUCAGUGUAAAGUAAGACUAACCAGACCCCCCAUAUCUCUUAUGCAUGGUCACGCCUGAUAUGCCCUUUUCUUGUCCAUCUCAAUGUCCAUUCCCUUUACUAAUCAGGUUACACAAUUAGUACCUGUGGAAUAACGUCUUGAUUGGACUUAAUUGGUGGUUUUGAGGCCAUGUCACAGCCUAAGAGACAGAGCAAGAGGUAUAAAAGGGUACAUUUUCAUGGCAAGGAACAUGAACAAAGACAAUCAACCUUUAUCAAGAUCAAUCAUCGACAAAUUCGCAGAUCAUCCUCACCAAAGCCUCAACCUCAACACAUGGCUAUGUUUGGCACCCCAGUGUCUGCCCUCUGUCUGCUGUUCCUGCUAUCUGUAUGCACUGCCUGCUACAUCUCCAACUGCCCCAUAGGAGGCAAGAGAUCAGCACUAGCUUUCCCAUCCAGAAAGUGCAUGUCAUGUGGCCCCGGGGACAGGGGCCGCUGCUUUGGCCCAAAUAUCUGCUGUGGGGAGGGGAUGGGCUGCUACGUGGGCUCUCCAGAGGCAGCUGGCUGCGUGGAUGAGAACUACCUGCCCUCCCCCUGUGAGGCCGGAGGAAGAGUGUGUGGCACUGAGGAGGGACGUUGUGCUGCACCGGGGAUCUGCUGUGACGUGGAGGGUUGUAGUAUUGACCAAUCCUGUACUGAGGAGGACGAAGCCGAAUACAUAAGCCAAUCAGUGAGCCGUAGCCAUGGCCACGAUCUGCUGAUGAAGCUUCUGAACAUGAUUAGCCACACCCCUCCCCACAGAGUCCACCAAUAAAACAGCCUCUUCAGAAAAUGGACACAAUUCAAUGGAUAUCAACCAACAAAGAGGUACACAGACGAGGAGGCAUACAAAGAUAUGGCAAUUGGUAUUGAUUUCACCCUCCCUACACCUCUGACGAAUAAAACAGAAAACCUGUUAGAUCACCAAGCGCUGCAAAAUCAUUCUAGCUAUGGAUACAGAGAACAUCAACACAUUAACAUCAACACGCCAGAGGAUAUACCAAUUGGACUUGGGGCUCUGCUUGGAGUUUACCUCAUAUUUAAAAAAAUGUAUUCUGCUUUGCCACUAAAAUCAUAAUAAACACAGA